rnacentral:RNase_P_RNA from 1 species
UUCGCAGGCCGGGCGCUCGCUUCCGCAGUAACUGGCGGGAGAGGAAAGUCCGGGCUCCUAAUCUUCCUUUGUUCAAAUAUUUUUACAUUUGAGCAUCGGAGGACCUUCCGAAUCAAGGCAUCUGCGGUCAGCAGAGGCCGCGACGGAGGGGAGCAGCGUAGCGGCUAACGGCCGCCCGUCGAAAGGCGAGGAUAAGCCCUGAACAAGAACUUCGUUCGGUUUGGGGUUGCCUUAAACCGAUCUUUGAUCUGGUUUAUGGUAGAGCCACAGAGACGAGUCUACUAUGUUAGAUCGGUUGGACCAGUUGGUAUGCGGCUUUUCGGGUCAAGGCCACUGAAAAGGCUUGGCCAGAGGCUUGUGGACCAAUUUCAUCCCGGCCUAUCUAACGGAGUAGGGUGAAACGAGGCAAUCUCUACGCGGAGCAAGACCAAAUAGGUUCCGAUUAAGGAGUUGCUCGCUCCUACUGUAAAUAUAUCAGUAUCGGAACGGGUAAGGUCGCUAGAUCCCGGCAGUAAUGCCUGGACAAGAUAGAUGAGCGCCUCGUCCCGAGAGGGAUAAGACAGAACCCGGCUUACAGGCCUGCGUGCUAU